AACGAACGCUGGCGGCAUGCCUAACACAUGCAAGUCGAACGAGACCUUCGGGUCGAGUGGCGCACGGGUGCGAAACGCGUAGGAACCUGCCCUUAGGUUCGGAAUAACUCCCCGAAAGGGGUGCGAAUACCGGAUAAUGUCCUCGGACCAAAGAUUUAUCGCCUUUGGAUGGGCCCGCGUUGGAUUAGCUAGUUGGUAGGGUAAAAGCCUACCAAGGCGACGAUCCGUAGCUGGUUUGAGAGGAUGAUCAGCCACACUGGGACUGAGACACGGCCCAGACUCCUACGGGAGGCGGCAGUGGGGAAUAUUGGACAGUGGGCGAGAGGCUGCUCCGGCACUGCCGCGUGGGUGGUGUAGGCCUUAGGGUUGUAAAGCUCUUUUACCCGAGCUGAUAAUGACGGUACCGGCAGAAUAAGCACCGGCUAACUCCGUG
rnacentral:rRNA from 1 species